rnacentral:lncRNA from 1 species
AACUUACAUGAGCACAUCCUUUGAUCCAACACUUCCUCUUCCAGAAAUUUUCCUGAGAAAAUAAGUGUGUACAGAGAUGUGCGUGCCAGCAGGUUUAUCAGAGCAUUAUUUAUAGCAGAGAAAUGACUGGAAACUAAGCUAAGAGGAGGCUAGUUCAGCCGACUAUGGUACAUCCAUAUAGUGCAAUGCCAUGCGAACGUUCAAAUGCAUGUGGUGGGGAAAGAGUCAUUGAUGUGCUAGAAAGCCCAUAAAUUAUCAUCAAGAGAUAAUUUCCAAUAUGCUGGUGUGUACUUCUGGCCAUUUUUAUACACGCACAUUUUUUUUCACAAAUGAACUACUAAUAUGCUGUUUUGUUGCUGUGCCUCAGCCCUCUUCCCCAAGGGCUGCAGGGAAGGCGAGGUCACAAAGGAACCAAGUGGGGUCAUUGAGAGUAGGGGCUGGGGGCUGUGAACUCCAAUGGUCCCACAAGGACCCAUGUUGUCACAUAGACCUCUAAUAAGUGGUGUUUAUCACGUGGACCCUUGGAGCUCAGCGUUGCAAACACAAGUCCGGGACAGGCUGAAUGACUCAUCUCUGCUCCAGCUUCUACUCCCACAGUUGCUUACCCACCAGGGUGCUCAGCCAAACAAAAGGUCCUCUGAAGAAUCAGACUUCCCAUCCUGGAAAGGGAGCUGGACCGCACAUCACAACCUGCCCGCAUGUCAACACUAUCAUCUCACUUCAUCAUUGGGGCGUUAGGUGGUUUCCCAACCUAUCUACUCCGCUCACCCAGCAUCCUAGUUGCCCACCAUUGAUUUGAUGACCAGAAAUCUGGCUUCCCAAAUUCCCUGAGGGUACAUCUCCAUCGUCACCACGGAGCACCUGUGCAGCAAAGGCAGUGACAGUGAGGUGUAGGCAGCCAGCGCUUCUCUGGGUCCAGCUGCAUCAGCAGGCAGCAAGGAAUGGUGGCAACAAAAGUUGGUGGCAGGAGGUGGGAGAUGGCAAGGAGAGAUGUGGAUGGUUAGCUGUGCUCCUGACCUGUCUGAAGAGUGCAAGUAAGUGGAGAGAAAAGGCAAAUCUCUCAUGCUGAAGAAUUCCACAUAAUUUAUGCAGCUGCUCCACCCCUAAGGAGAAGAAAAUAAUUCCCCACUCCUGAAGUGGGCUGCUCGUACUUCCUAGGAGGGCAGUAUGGAAAGGCAGAGAGGAAAGAGUACUUUUCCAGCGGAGAAACCCAACACCACCACCUGUAGGUACCCCUGACACAAUCUGAUGAGGAUGGCACUUUACCUCUGUGAUCUUCCUCCCAAAUCUUGUCAUGAGAAAAACAUCAGACAAGUCCCAACGAGGGACGAUCUGCAAAACAACUGACCAGCGCUCCUCAAAACUGUCAGGGUCACCAAAAACAGGACAAGUCUGAGUUACAACCAAGAGGAGCCCCAAGAAGACACGACCACUAAAUGUAAUGUGGUGCCCUGGGACAGAAAAAAUGACUAAGGAAAUCUGAAUAAAGAAUGAACUUUAGUUAACA